GCCGUUGGGCGGCCGGUAGCUGUUGCUGUCGGGGGACACCCUCAUUCCUGCCGCUGCCGUCCCUGCUGCCUCAUGGCGGCCAUCGGAGUUCACCUGGGCUGCACCUCAGCCUGUGUGGCAGUCUAUAAGGAUGGCCGGGCUGGUGUGGUUGCAAAUGAUGCCGGUGACCGAGUUACUCCAGCUGUUGUUGCUUACUCAGAAAAUGAAGAGAUUGUUGGAUUGGCAGCAAAACAAAGCAGAAUAAGAAAUAUUUCAAAUACAGUAAUGAAAGUAAAGCAGAUCCUGGGCAGAAGGAUACUUAUGCACUAAGCCAAAAACUAUAGUUGUUUGGAGAGAAUUCAAUAUUUGGUGACAAUAAAUAUAUCCCCUCUCAUUCCCCUGUGGCCUUCCAGCCAGAAAUGCGGUCCUUGGACCUGGCUUCUCAGCAAUUAUCCCUGAGAGGGAAGAUCCUGGAGAUAUCCUGAGAGCACACAGAGCUUCCCCACACCUUCAGACUUGCACCUUGCUCUCCAGAAGCUGCCUAGCCCUCCUUUCCAACCCACAAUGGCCAGUGCCAAUAGCAGUGCGGG
rnacentral:sRNA from 1 species